rnacentral:rRNA from 1 species
AGUGAACGCUGGCGGUAGGCCUAACACAUGCAAGUCGAACGGCAGCACAGUAAGAGCUUGCUCUUACGGGUGGCGAGUGGCGGACGGGUGAGGAAUACAUCGGAAUCUACUUUUUCGUGGGGGAUAACGUAGGGAAACUUACGCUAAUACCGCAUACGACCUACGGGUGAAAGCAGGGGAUCUUCGGACCUUGCGCGAUUGAAUGAGCCGAUGUCGGAUUAGCUAGUUGGCGGGGUAAAGGCCCACCAAGGCGACGAUCCGUAGCUGGUCUGAGAGGAUGAUCAGCCACACUGGAACUGGGACACGGUCCAGACUCCUACGGGAGGCAGCAGUGGGGAAUAUUGGACAAUGGGCGCAAGCCUGAUCCAGCCAUACCGCGUGGGUGAAGAAGGCCUUCGGGUUGUAAAGCCCUUUUGUUGUGAAAGAAAAGCAGCAGGUUAAUACCCCGCUGUUCUGACGGUACCCAAAGAAUAAGCACCGGCUAACUUCGUG